AUUGAACGCUGGCGGCAGGCUUAACACAUGCAAGUCGAGCGAGAGGCGGACGGGUGAGUAAUGUCUGGGAAACUGCCUGAUGGAGGGGGAUAACUACUGGAAACGGUAGCUAAUACCGCAUACCAUCAGAUGUGCCCAGAUGGGAUUAGCUAGUAGGUGGGGUAAUGGCUCACCUAGGCGACGAUCCCUAGCUGGUCUGAGAGGAUGACCAGACACACUGGAACUGAGACCCGGUUCAGACUCCUACGUGAGGCAGCAGUGGGGAAGAUUGCACAAUUGGCCCAAGCCUGAUGCAGCCAUGCCGCGUGUGUGAAGAAGGCCUUCGGGUUGUAAAGCACUUUCAGCGAGGAGGCGUUACUCGCAGAAGAAUCACCGGCUAACUCCGUGCCAGCAGCCGCGGUAAUAC
rnacentral:rRNA from 1 species